AUUGAACGCUGCGGCAGGCUUAACACAUGCAAGUCGAGCGAGCGGCGGACGGGUGAGUAAUGCUUAGGAAUCUGCCUAUUAGUGGGGGACAACAUCUCGAAAGGGAUGCUAAUACCGCAUACUAAUAGAUGAGCCUAAGUCGGAUUAGCUAGUUGGUGGGGUAAAGGCCUACCAAGGCGACGAUCUGUAGCGGGUCUGAGAGGAUGAUCCGCCACACUGGGACUGAGACACGGCCCAGACUCCUACGGGAGGCAGCAGUGGGGAAUCUUCCGCAAUGGACGAAAGUCUGACGGAGCAACGCCGCGUGAGUGAUGACGGCCUUCGGGUUGUAAAGCUCGUUAAUCGGGACGACGGUACCGGAAUAGAAAGCCACGGCUAACUACGUGCCAGCAGCCGCGGUAAUAC
rnacentral:rRNA from 1 species